GAUGAAGAACGUAGCGAAAUGCGAUACUUGGUGUGAAUUGCAGAAUCCCGUGAACCAUCGAGUCUUUGAACGCAAGUUGCGCCUCAAGCCAUUAGGUUGAGGGCACGUCUGCCUGGGCGUCACAUAUCGUUGCCUGAUGCCAGUUUCCUCGUGAUGGGUGACUGUGCAGGGCGAAUGAUGGCUUCCCUUGAGCAUUGUUGCCUCAUGGUUGGUUGAAAAUUGAGUCCUUGGUAGGGAGCGCCGUGAUAGAUGGUGGUUGAGUGACGAACGAGACCCAAUCAUGUGAGACCCCUACCGAAUUUGGCCUUCAUGACCCACAUGCGUCUUUGGAACGCUCAUGACGAGACCUCAGGUCAGGCGGGGCUACCCGCUGAGUUUAAGCAUAUCAAUAAGCGGAGGA
rnacentral:misc_RNA from 1 species